rnacentral:rRNA from 1 species
AGAGUUUGAUCCUGGCUCAGAACGAACGCUGGCGGCGUGGAUAAGACAUGCAAGUCGAACGGGAUAUUAUUUGUAGCAAUACAAAUGAUGUCUAGUGGCGUAAGGGUGCGUAACACGUGGGGAAUCUGCCGAGAAGUGGGGGAUAGCUCGCCGAAAGGCGAAUUAAUACCGCAUGUGGUUAGUGAGGACAUCCUCACGACACCAAAGCCGGGGCAACCUGGCGCUUCUUGAUGACCCCGCGGCCUAUCAGCUAGUUGGUGAGGUAACGGCUCACCAAGGCUAUGACGGGUAGCUGGUCUGAGAGGACGACCAGCCACACUGGAACUGAGACACGGUCCAGACACCUACGGGUGGCAGCAGUCGAGAAUUUUUCUCAAUGGGGGAAACCCUGAAGGAGCGACGCCGCGUGGAGGAUGAAGGUCUUCGGAUUGUAAACUCCUGUCAUUUGGGAACAAGUUGCAUCGAUUAACUGUCGAUGCAUUGAUAGUACCAGAAGAGGAAGAGACGGCUAACUCUGUGCCAGCAGCCGCGGUAAUACAGAGGUCUCAAGCGUUGUUCGGAUUCAUUGGGCGUAAAGGGUGCGUAGGUGGCGGGGUUAGUCAGGUGUGAAAUCUCGGAGCUCAACUCCGAAACUGCACUUGAUACUGCCUUGCUAGAGUACUGGAGAGGAGAUUGGAAUUUACGGUGUAGCAGUGAAAUGCGUAGAUAUCGUAAGGAAGACCAGUGGCGAAGGCGAAUCUCUGGACAGUUACUGACACUGAGGCACGAAGGCCAGGGGAGCAAACGGGAUUAGAUACCCC